rnacentral:lncRNA from 10 species
UUCAGAAAUGUCUGAGAACACGGGAGUGAGCUCUUCAUCCAGGAUGAGUGACCGAAGCCUGGGGUUACACAGUCUCCAGAGGUCCUGAGGAGGUGCGCCUGAGGUGGUCAUGUUCCGGUUUGGUUGCACACAUUUCGAGGAGACAGGAAUUGCAGGACGUCCAGGUCGUAGCCAGGAAUUGACAUUUCGACAAGCCCCUACCUGAACCAGGUGACCACCUUGGUAGCAGACCCCAGGCAGGCAGGCAGGCAGGGAGUCCUCAGAUCCUCCCAACAGCCCUGCUAGCUAAGGAUGGUGAUCACACCUGCUGCAGAAGAGUGGACCGAGGCUUCAGAGGGGAAAGCAGUGACCAAAGAUCAGAUUGUGCCUCUCCAUCUCUUCCCAAAUAAUAAAUACAGGUAUUUAUUGUACCCCUGCUCUGUGCCCACACGGGGCUUUUACAUCCACGCAUUCUGUGCUCAAGGGCAUGGAAAAUUCCAGCCUGAAAGCCUUGCUUGCCCCAUCCUGUCCCCCACACUGCAGUGGUUUCCAUAGCAACAGUCUUGGUCGCAAACAUCCCUUGAGUCCCCUGAAGGGGAGGAGGAGUGGUUGAUGUCAGAAUAGCCUGGGCUGAGGGUGGUGGGACAAGGGGAAGGAUUGAAUUCUGCAAUUCCCACCCCACCCCAUAUUCCUGGUUCA